CUUUCUGACAGUUUUGUGUUUUUUUCAUAUGAUCGUGGUUUUGUGUUUUAUUGUGCCUUUGUUUUUAUAUAUGUGAUGUCAUUGGUGUGUUAAGAGUGGAAAUAAAGGAUGGUUAAAAUUCUGUUCUGCUGUUCUUACAGUGUGGACCAUGGAGGAGAGAACAGGACCAAACCAGGACCCAGGAAAUACGGCUGUCAGCUCACACUGGAUCCAAACACAGCGCACAGAGAGCUGUCUCUGUCUGAGUGGAACAGGAGGGUGACACACACACCGGGGAGAGAGGAGCCAUAUCCUGAUCAUCCAGAGAGAUUUAAGCACCGGACCCAGGUUGUGUGCGGAGAGAGUGUGUGUGAGCGCUGUUACUGGGAGGCUGAGUUGAGGGUGUCUGAGAGCGGAGAGGUUUAUAUAGCAGUGACAGAUAAAGGAAGCAGCAGGAAAGGACGGGGUUUUGACUGUGUGUUUGGAUGGAAUAAAAACUCCUGGAGUCUGGGCUGCUAUAAAGUCAGAGUCUCUGAUAAACUCAGUUACUGUGUCUGGCACAAUGAUAACAAAACACACAUUCCUGCCCCCCCCUCCCCCUACCGCAGAGCAGGAGUGUGUGAUGAUGAUGAUGAUGAUGGUGGAGGAGUGUGUGUGUACAGGGUAGGAGUGUGUGUGGACCGUCCAACCGGCACUCUGUCUUUCUACAGCGUCUCUGACUCUGACACACUGACCCUCCUGCACAGAUUCCACACACACUUCACUCAACACAAACCCCUCUGUGCUGGAUUUUAUGUGAAUAACUCCUCCUCAGUGUCCCUCUGCCAACUGGAGUAGACACACACACACAAACAUGCACUCACGCACACACACACAUGCCUGCAGAGACACAAACACGUGUCAACACACACUCCUCAGUGUCCCUCUGCUAACUGGAGUAGACACACACACAUGCGCGCACACACACACACAUGCAUACACACACACGUGAGCAUACACACUCCAACGCAUGCACACACACACACAGACAUAUAUAUACACACACUCUCAUGUACAGAUACACACACUCAAUCACACACUCACACACACACACACACACACACACACGUAUAUACACACACACACACUCAUACACACACACACACUCGUAUACACAUACACACACACUCAAUCACACACUCACACAUAUAUAUAUACACACUCAUAUGCACCUAGACUCACACACAUGCACUCACACAUCUACACACACUCUCGCACAACCAGUCACACACACACCCUCUCUCUCUCACAUACACUCCAUCACACACACACAUACUCUCACACACACCCUUUCUCUCUCAGUCAUGCACACGCACUCACAAAUACAUACACUCAUGUUUACUCAUGCACACGCACUCACAGACCUAUGCACGCACACUCUCUCACACCCAGUCACUCACACACACCUACACACGGACACACAAUCUCACGCACACACACACGCGCAUGCACACAUACACGCGCUCAUACACACACACUUUUUCUCUCACUCACACACUCACAUACAGUAUACAGACACACACAUUCGCAAACGCACGCACACACACACAUUUAUGCAAUCACGCACAAACACAAACGUGUCAACACACACACAUUCUCAUUCCCAUACGCACGCACGCACACACAUGUAUAAACACACACAUUCUCUUACCCAUACGCACACACACACACUCAUGCACUCACACAUGCAUACACAUACAUGCGUGCACACACCAUAUACACAUGUAUACACAAACAUUCUCAUACCCAUACAUACACACACACACACAUGUAUAAACACACACACAUUCACAAAGGCACUCUCACGCACACACACAUACACAUACAUACACUCAUUCUCUUGCACGCACACACACUCAAAUAAACAAUCACACACACAUUCACACAAACGCAUGCACACACACUUUCUCUUACCCAUACACACACGCACCCGUGUGUACACACACACAUACUCAUGCACUCAAUCAUACUCUCACACAUGCACACACACAUACAUGCGUGCACACGCACACACAUUCUCUUACCCAUACACACACAAUCCGGGCACACACAUACUCAUGCACUCACACACAUACACACACAUGUUCACAUCCACAGUCACUCCCACAAACGUACGCAUGUAUGCACACACAUUCACAAAUUCACGCACACAAACACACUCUCACCCAAUCACACACACACACACUCAUCGACACACUUGCAACCUUCCUUGACCAAUGCCUGACCAGUGCAAUUUCAGCUGUGCCCAAUAUUAUAUAUAUAUAUAUAUAACCUCACUACAACCUAACUCCUGUACAUAAGAGUAUUAUCUUUUAGCAGUUCAGGUUAAGCACUUGCUGUCUAAAUGUGAUUUUUACAUUUUAAUACAUUUAUAUUGCAAAUGUUCAAGGUGUGUUAAUGUACUUUUGAUUAUUAAAACAUUAAUAUUAAAACAUUAAUAAAACAUUACUGCCGUUGUACCCUUAAGCAACGUACUUAACCGAAAUUGCUUCAGUAUAUGUCCAGCUGUAUAAAUGGAUACAAUGUAAAAAAUGCUAUGUAAAAAAAUAAAAAAUAAAAAAGUUGUGUAAGUCGAUCUGGAUAAGAGCGUCUGCUAAAUGCCUGUAAUGUAAUGUAAUGUAAUUAAUGUAGUGGUAAAAAUAGGUUCAGUUUCUGUCCUUUUGUUUCCUAUGUUCCAGUAAACGUUUCCCACUUUUAUCCACUUCACUACUUCUACCGGGAGUUGUCUGACGCGUGUUGCAAUGGAAAUAAAACGUAUUAUUGUUAUUGCUUUUGUUGAAUUUAUUUACAAAUUAAAUUAACAUAAAACUGCAAUAAUAAACAAAAACGAUAUUAAAGUCCAUUUAAACUUUUCCAGAUUCCACGGGCCCACUUUGGUUGUGCAAAACACGGUCAAUGACCGUUUCCGCUCGCACCCGUCUACUCCCGCUGGCCCGCCUCACCGCACCAUCUUAAAUAUAAUUUAUUCCCCCUUCUCCUAUAGAGGGACACAUUCAUAAAAUAAUUAAUGCACACUAAACAAUAAAUAACAAAUACAUGAUAAAUUCCAUUAUAAUUUCAACUUAAAUGUAGAACAGAAUAAACAAAUGCCAUAAUAGUUUUUUGGGGUUCUUAUUAUAAUUACUAUAAACCAACAUAAUGGCUCCUACAAUUAAUAUAACAUUGAGAAUAAUAAUGCCAAAAGAUGGCAGGGUAAAAUGUUUUUGAAGUAAUAAUUCUAUCUCCUGUAUCUGCAUCUUUUUUUAAAGAAUCCAGUGGCAAACUCCUCCACUUAAAUGUGCAUUUUACUAGUUUUUACCGUUGCUUUCAUUCAUUUUCACAAGAGUUCCAAUGUGCAAAUUUCUGUGGGCAAAUGCAGCUGACAGGGAGAAUGCAGAAUGAUCGCUGCAGUGUACUUAUUUCCUUUCAUUACUGUAAACAAUGAUGGAUUGAGUUUCCUUAUUAAUUCUGUUAGGAUUGUUUUUUUCCCCCUUAAUUUUCUGUAUUUUCAGACAAUAAUAUGCAAUGAUUAAACCUGAAUUAUAAAAAUA